UACAGAGGGUGCGAGCGUUGUUCGGAAUUAUUGGGCGUAAAGGGUGCGUAGGCGGUUUUGUAAGUCUUGUGUGAAAUCUUCAGGCUCAACUUGAAGACUGCACGAGAAACUGCAGGGCUUGAGUGUGGGAGAGGUGAGUGGAAUUCCUGGUGUAGCGGUGAAAUGCGUAGAUAUCAGGAGGAACACCUGUGGCGAAAGCGGCUCACUGGACCACAACUGACGCUGAUGCACGAAAGCUAGGGGAGCAAACAGG
rnacentral:rRNA from 1 species